UACGAAGGGGGCUAGCGUUGCUCGGAAUCACUGGGCGUAAAGCGCACGUAGGCGGCUUUCUAAGUCAGGGGUGAAAUCCUGGAGCUCAACUCCAGAACUGCCUUUGAUACUGAGGAUCUUGAGUUCGGGAGAGGUGAGUGGAACUGCGAGUGUAGAGGUGAAAUUCGUAGAUAUUCGCAAGAACACCAGUGGCGAAGGCGGCUCACUGGCCCGAUACUGACGCUGAGGCACGAAAGCGUGGGGAG
rnacentral:rRNA from 1 species